rnacentral:rRNA from 1 species
AGUGAACGCUGGCGGUAGGCCUAACACAUGCAAGUCGAACGGAAGCACAGUAAGAGCUUGCUCUUACGGGUGGCGAGUGGCGGACGGGUGAGGAAUACAUCGGAAUCUACUUUUUCGUGGGGGAUAACGUAGGGAAACUUACGCUAAUACCGCAUACGACGUACGGGUGAAAGCAGGGGAUCUUCGGACCUUGCGCGAUUGAAUGAGCCGAUGUCGGAUUAGCUAGUUGGUGGGGUAAAGGCCCACCAAGGCGACGAUCCGUAGCUGGUCUGAGAGGAUGAUCAGCCACACUGGAACUGAGACACGGUCCAGACUCCUACGGGAGGCAGCAGUGGGGAAUAUUGGACAAUGGGCGCAAGCCUGAUCCAGCCAUACCGCGUGUGUGAAGAAGGCCUUCGGGUUGUAAAGCCCUUUUGUUGGGAAAGAAAAGCAGCAGGUUAAUACCCCGCUGUUCUGACGGUACCCAAAGAAUAAGCACCGGCUAACUUCGUG